rnacentral:rRNA from 1 species
UAGUCCACGCCGUAAACGAUGGUCACUAGCUGUUCGAACUUCGGUUUGAGUGGCUAAGCGAAAGUGAUAAGUGACCCACCUGGGGAGUACGUUCGCAAGAAUGAAACUCAAAGGAAUUGACGGGGGCCCGCACAAGCGGUGGAGCAUGUGGUUUAAUUCGAUGAUACGCGAGGAACCUUACUAGGGCUUAAAUGUAGUAUGACAGGUUUAGAGAUAGACUUUUCUUCGGACAUAUUACAAGGUGCUGCAUGGUUGUCGUCAGCUCGUGCCGUGAGGUGUCAGGUUAAGUCCUAUAACGAGCGCAACCCCUGUUGUUAGUUGCCAGCAUGUAAAGAUGGGAACUCUAACAAGACUGCCGGUGCAAACCGUGAGGAAGGUGGGGAGUGACGGUCAAAUCAUCACGGCCCUUACGUCCUGGGGCCGACACACGUGCUACAAUGGCCGGGUACAGAGAGCAGCCAUCUGGUGACAGAGCGCGGAAUCUAC